rnacentral:rRNA from 1 species
AGCGAACGCUGGCGGCAGGCCUAACACAUGCAAGUCGAACGAAGUCUUCGGACUUAGUGGCGGACGGGUGAGUAACACGUGGGAACGUGCCUUUAGGUUCGGAAUAACUCAGGGAAACUUGUGCUAAUACCGAAUGUGCCCUUCGGGGGAAAGAUUUAUCGCCUUUAGAGCGGCCCGCGUCUGAUUAGCUAGUUGGUGGGGUAAUGGCCCACCAAGGCUACGAUCAGUAGCUGGUCUGAGAGGAUGACCAGCCACAUUGGGACUGAGACACGGCCCAAACUUCUACGGGAGGCAGCAGUGGGGAAUCUUGCGCAAUGGGCGAAAGCCUGACGCAGCCAUGCCGCGUGGAUGAUGAAGGUCUUAGGAUUGUAAAAUCCUUUCACCGGUGAAGAUAAUGACUGUAGCCGGAGAAGAAGCCCCGGCUAACUUCGUGCCAGCCGCCGCGGUAA